rnacentral:rRNA from 1 species
UACAGAGGGCGCGAGCGUUGUCCGGAAUCACUGGGCGUAAAGGGCUCGUAGGUGGCCAACUAAGUCAGACGUGAAAUCCCUCGGCUUAACCGGGGAACUGCGUCUGAUACUGGAUGGCUUGAGGUUGGGAGAGGGAUGCGGAAUUCCAGGUGUAGCGGUGAAAUGCGUAGAUAUCUGGAGGAACACCGGUGGCGAAGGCAGCCCCCCUGGGUCAACACUGACGCUCAUGCACGAAAAGCGUGGGGGAGCAAACAGG